UGCAGUCGAGCGCAGGAAGCUGACGGAGCUCUUCGGAGGGAAGGCAGUGGAAUGAGCGGCGGACGGGUGAGUAACACGUAAGGAACCUGCCUCAAGGAUUGGGAUAACUCCGAGAAAUCGGAGCUAAUACCGGAUAGUUCAACGGACCGCAUGGUCCGCUGAUGAAAGGCGCUCCGGCGUCACCUUGAGAUGGCCUUGCGGUGCAUUAGCUAGUUGGUGGGGUAACGGCCCACCAAGGCGACGAUGCAUAGCCGACCUGAGAGGGUGAUCGGCCACACUGGGACUGAGACACGGCCCAGACUCCUACGGGAGGCAGCAGUAGGGAAUCUUCCACAAUGGACGAAAGUCUGAUGGAGCAACGCCGCGUGAGUGAUGAAGGUUUUCGGAUCGUAAAACUCUGUUGUAAGGGAAGAACACGUACGAGAGGAAAUGCUCGUACCUUGACGGUACCUUACGAGAAAGCCACGGCUAACUACGUGCCAGCAGCCGCGGUAAUACGUAGGUGGCAAGCGUUGUCCGGAAUUAUUGGGCGUAAAGCGCGCGCAGGCGGCCUUUUAAGUCUGAUGUGAAAGCCCCCGGCUCAACCGGGGAGGGCCAUUGGAAACUGGAAGGCUUGAGUACAGAAGAGAAGAGUGGAAUUCCACGUGUAGCGGUGAAAUGCGUAGAGAUGUGGAGGAACACCAGUGGCGAAGGCGACUCUUUGGUCUGUAACUGACGCUGAGGCGCGAAAGCGUGGGGAGCAAACAGGAUUAGAUACCCUG
rnacentral:rRNA from 1 species